rnacentral:rRNA from 1 species
AUUGAACGCUGGCGGCAGGCCUAACACAUGCAAGUCGAACGAGUGGCGGACGGGUGAGUAAUGUCUGGGAAACUGCCUGAUGGAGGGGGAUAACUACUGGAAACGGUAGCUAAUACCGCAUACCAUCGGAUGUGCCCAGAUGGGAUUAGCUAGUAGGUGGGGUAACGGCUCACCUAGGCGACGACCCCUAGAUGGUCUGAGAGGAUGACCUGCCACACUGGAACUGAGACACGGUCCAGACUCCUACGGGAGGCAGCGUUGGGGAAUAUUCCACAAUGGGCGCAAGCCUGAGGCAGCCAUGCCGCGUGUAUGAAGAAGGCCUGCGGGUUGUAAAGUACUUUCAGCGGGGAGGCGUUACCCGCAGAAGAAGCACCGGCUAACUCCGUGCCAGCAGCCGCGGUAAUAC